rnacentral:tRNA from 1 species
GACACUGUGGCGGAGUGGUUAACGCGGUGCCCUGCUAAGGCAUUGCCUCUCGGGCGCGCAGGUUCGAAUCCUGCCGGUGUCG